CACGUAGGGUGCGAGCGUUGUCCGGAAUUAUUGGGAGUAAAGAGCUCGUAGGCGGUGUGUCGCGUCGGCCGUGAAAACCUGCAGCUUAACUGUGGGCUUGCGGUCGAUACGGGCAUCACUGGAGUUCGGCAGGAGAGGGAAGUGGAAUUCCCGGUGUAGUGGUGAAAUGCGUAGAUAUCGGGAGGAACACCAGUGGCGAAGGCGGCGAUCUGGGAAGAUACUGACGCUGAGGUGCGAAAGCGUGGGGAGCAAACAGG
rnacentral:rRNA from 1 species